rnacentral:rRNA from 1 species
UACGUAGGGUGCAAGCGUUAUUCGGAAUUACUGGGCGUAAAGCGUGCGCAGGCGGCUUUGCAAGACAGAUGUGAAAUCCCCGGGCUUAACCUGGGAACUGCAUUUGUGACUGCAUGGCUGGAGUGCGGCAGAGGGGGAUGGAAUUCCGCGUGUAGCAGUGAAAUGCGUAGAUAUGCGGAGGAACACCGAUGGCGAAGGCAAUCCCCUGGGCCUGCACUGACGCUCAUGCACGAAAGCGUGGGGAGCAAACAGG